UGCCUCCGUGUUGUUGUAGUAAGAAGAGGGGGCAGCUGAAGGCAAGGUGGGGGCGGCGGUCUACAGUGUGAAGCCACGGUGCAGCAGUUAGUUAGCUCACUGUUGUGUGUUUUGCCCCUCUGAAGGAAAAAAAUGGGAAGCACGGUGAUGGAGUCCAGCAAGCAGAGCUCAAAGAAAAUGCCAAAGAAGAGGAGAAGUCUGCGGAUUAACAUGCCAGACUUUGGUGCAUUCGCUUCCCCUCAAGUUGAGACAAGUGGCUCAACCAAAAGUGCAGCUCAGACGGGAGAGCGUCUCGUCCAUUCAGCCAGCCCCACCACAGGACUGUCUGCGAGGAGCCCUGCAGGCGCCCCGCUUCCCCCCUGUCCCCAGUCUGCUCCAGUGCAAUCGAAGACGAGCUCAGGUUCACCCAAAACUAUCUUCCCCUAUCCCUCCCACCAGAACUCCCCACCCAAGUCCCCCCGCCGCCUGAGCUUCAGUGGUAUCUUCCGCUCGUCAUCCAGCUCUACACCAGCAAGCAUCAAAAUCUUCUCCAGAACCAGGAGAGCCUCUGGACUCUCCACACCACCCACCACCCCGACCCAGGUGUCCAGCCAACCUGUGUUCACCCAGGAGGCCCAGCUGAGCAGGCCCAGCCCUGAACGCUUGGAGCCGAGCUCCAGAUCCCGCUCCCUCACCACACCUCCAGACACAGGACAGCGUCUCAGCCUCCCCUCUGCUAAACCCCCGAUCCCUUCCUCAAGCCCUGUGCCAUCUUACUCUACCUCACAUCAAGUCUACGGUCUAUUCGAAGGCAUGCUGGAGAAACUUGAACUAGAUGAUGAUGCUGCUGAACCUGAGAGUGAUAUUUACAUGCGCUUUAUGAAAUCCCACAAGUGCUACGACAUCGUCCCAACAAGCUCGAAGCUGGUUGUGUUCGACACAGCACUCCAAGUUAAGAAAGCGUUCUUUGCCUUGGUUGCAAAUGGUGUGCGAGCUGCCCCACUGUGGGACACAGAGAAACAAAGUUUUGUGGGAAUGCUGACAAUCACAGAUUUCAUCAUCAUACUACACAGAUACUAUAAGUCACCAAUGGUGCAAAUUUAUGAAUUAGAGGAGCAUAAGCUUGAGACAUGGAGAGAGGUUUACCUUCAAGCCACAUUCAAACCUCUGGUCAACAUAUCACCUGAUGCAAGCCUAUUUGAUGCAGUGUACACCCUCAUCAAAAACAAAAUUCACCGGCUGCCUGUCAUCGACCCAGUCACAGGGAAUGCACUUUAUAUUCUCACACACAAGAGGAUCCUCAAGUUCCUCCAGCUCUUUAUGUGUGAAAUGCCAAAGCCAGCUUUCAUGAAGCAGACUCUCGGGGAGCUUGGCAUUGGAACGUACCAUGACAUUGCUUUCAUCCACCCGGACACGCCCAUCAUCAAAGCACUCAACAUCUUUGUGGAGAGACGAGUGUCUGCUUUGCCAGUGGUGGAUGACUCGGGCAAAGUUGUGGAUAUUUACUCCAAGUUUGAUGUCAUUAACUUGGCUGCUGAGAAGGCAUACAACAACCUGGACAUUACAGUGACGCAGGCUCUGAAACAUCGCUCUCAGUACUUCGAAGGAGUCGUGAAGUGCCAUAAAAUGGAAACAAUGGAGACCAUUGUGGACAGAAUAGUCAAAGCCGAAGUGCACCGGUUGGUGGUGGUGGACGAGCGCUCCAGCAUAGAGGGCAUCGUCUCCCUGUCGGACAUCCUCCAGACCCUGGUACUCAGCCCUUCAGAUGCCUGUAAGGAGGAGAACCUGACUGGGUGAGAGGGAGGAAGCGUCAGCAGAAGUGGAGAAGUGAUGGGAAUAAAUAAGUUUGAAGGUUGAGGAGGACGACGCGGAGAAAGCCCGUGCAGGCAUAAGGAGAACAUGCAAACUCCACACAGAAUGGCCCCAGGCCUGGGAUUCGAACACAGAACCUUUUCACUGUGACGCCAGUUCUAACCACUGUCACACUGUGUGGCCCCAUCUCAAAGUCACCCUGUAUAUAUGUCUGUGUGUGUGUAUCAACAUCUUGUAGGGCAUUUCAAGUGCUCUUGGGGGCCCCCUGGUGGUCACGGGGGCCCUAAGCAGCUGCUUAGUUUGCUUAUGCCUUGGGCUGGCCUUGAGUCACACAUCACUCCUUCUACGCCUGCUCUCUCAAGCUCAUUACCGUAUUUACAUGCUUGUCUUGCACAGUUCUUGUAACAUUUCUAUUAGAUUGAAUGAAUCACACGGCCAAGCAGUCAUCAACCAAAGCUGUGAGCUGUUGAGCUUUCAGCCCUGGAGCCUUUUCUCCUCAUGGCAUGCUGCCCUGAGGAUAUUUUAGAGCAGGGGUGGGCAACCGUGUGCUGGGAAAAGGUUUUUAUUUCAGAUGAGCACUACAGCAGCUGAUAGUUUAUCCUCUAUAUAUGCAUAUCUAUGAAGAUGAUAGGCUCAGUGGAAUCAGCUGUCAUUCCCUGUAGCUAAAGAAGAAAUGUGUACUCUGUGGUUGCCUGGUGUUGUAAACUCCUGCUGGAUUAUUUGUGUGUGUCUGUGUGUGUGUCUGUGGGGCAGCCACAAGGUGACGCUGUAGUACACAAUUCAGGCAAUUUGAGGUUUCAACCAAAAUCCGUUUCCACAGUUGUAAUAAGUAACGACCUCUUUCUCAUUGAAUAUUUACAUUCCAAUAAGAGAUGAAUGUCCUCCAAUUGGGGCUUUUUUUUUUCUUUUUUUUACUACUUUCAAGGAAAUUGUAAGAUUUCAGCAGGAACUUUUUAUUGCAGUAAAGGUUGUCUCUAAAUGAGGCAAAGAUACCAAGCCUGGAUCUGAUGGACUUCCAAAUGAGGGAUAAAACUGGACCAGACUUACUCCAGACAAUCUGCUAUGAUCUCCCGAUCUCCCCUGUGAUACCCAGCGCUGGGAAAGCCUCUUCUACACCUUGUAGCCCUAAAGCAGAAAAGGCAGGAGGGCGUCUCUAACCUCCCCCUCCUCUUCUCACUGCCCAUCUUUCUCUCUUUCUUUAUACACACACACACACACACACACACACACACACACACACACACACACACACACACACACACACUGGACUCUCUUUUGAAAGUCUAGGGCUUGAUUUAAAAUUCCUCUUCAGACCGUGUCAUGCAUUUUAUAUGCAUGGUGAGUGGGGGAGAGAGAGGAGGGAUUGCGUGGGGCUCCAGCCCAAAUGAACUUCCCUCCGCUCUUGGUCUCCUCAGGGAUAUAUCCACACACUCACACACACACAUACACACACCACCACUUUCUUUCACUCCUCUCCCCUCAUUUUCUCGCACCCACUCAACUCUUUCAACAUUAGUUUUACUGCAUCAUGCUUUUCACAAAUUCCACUGAGCAGGGAGAGUGCCGUAGCCUUUGAAGACAAGUGUGAUCAGAACAGAGGCAGGGGGUGUAUUAAAAAAAAAAAAAAAAAAAACCUGGCCGCAGGGCAUUUGGGGUUUUGCACUCGUGUUUAGCAGCUUGUGGAGCAGAAGAGGGAGGCUGACAAGUGCAGUGUUUGGGGACAGCUUUGAUGUCUGAUGGGGUGCGGCUGCUGCUUCUGCACAGUCCUUCACAAGGAGACUGUCACGUUGACACAAGCAGGCUUACAUUUACAGUUCAUAGCUGUGGAUAGAUAACAGACAAUCAAAAGAGCUCCGUUGAUACACUGCUCACCACCUUGGCAUCUCUUAUUCUCUUUCUGUCCUGCUGACAUGCACAGAGAUGAAACUGAGAAUUGAUUAAGAAAAGCAGACGCAACGUGAACUUCAGCUGCAGCUGCUUGAGAAAUCUGGUUUAUUAGGAACAAUAUGAUCCCACUAGCUUAUUGUGGAUAUUGCAGUAAACAACAGAAACACAAUUCACUUUUUUUUUUUUUUUGAAGUGCUACAGGUUUGCGAUUAUAGACAUAAAACAGUACAGCAACCAUAGUGCCUACAUUCAUAUAUGCACAGAGAAUAUAAAAAUUACAGUAUAUUGCUGUUAUGCUGUUCCUAUUCCUGCUCAUGAUUCACCCUCUGUUCCUCUCUUACAUACACAUCUCUGGAGUAUCAAAGAGCUGUUGUAAUGAGAGUGGUGUGUUGUUUUUUUUUUUUGUUUUGUUUUUUUUCUUUCAGUGAAGACUGACAAGAUUUAGGUCUGGCAGGUCAACAUUUCUUACAGAUAAGCACUGAGUUAUCAUUGGAGCACAAAGCUGACAAGUUAAGAUGAUAUAGCACAGUAACACUAGACAAACCCUCCACAGAGAGAUCACAAAACCUCACUGAACAGACUCUCAGUGAAGUGAAGCGACAUGUAUUCUCAUUAAGCUACUUUUGUGUUUUUUUUUUUUUUUUUUUUUUUUCUGUUUUGUUUUUGUUUUUUUAAAUUAAAGAUUAAUACAAGUUAACUUUGGUUUCCAGCUCUCUAGAACUAUACUGUUAAUUUGUGGCAGUUUAAGCUGUAGGUAAGAGUUAAAUCGACAGCAUAGCAGCCUUAAGCCAAUAUUAAUACGACACAGAAAUUCACUUUUUAAAGAUUUUUGUUGUUAUGAUAGCAGCCAGGAAAUAAUAUAGUUACAGUGUGAUUCCAUAGAGUAGAAAAAAAGUGGAGACAACUGAUUUUUCAUCAAAGUACUGUUAAAAAUCUGUGAUCUGGUACCUCAAUAAAUACAAAAAGGAACUUC